UACGAAGGGGGCUAGCGUUGCUCGGAAUGACUGGGCGUAAAGGGCGCGUAGGCGGUUUGUACAGUCAGGUGUGAAAUUCCCGGGCUCAACCUGGGGGCUGCACUUGAUACGUAUGGACUUGAGUGAGGAAGAGGGUCGUGGAAUUCCCAGUGUAGAGGUGAAAUUCGUAGAUAUUGGGAAGAACGACCGGUGGCGAAGGCGGCGACCUGGUCCUU
rnacentral:rRNA from 1 species